rnacentral:rRNA from 1 species
UGAGGGAAAGUUGCAAAGAACUUUGAAGAGAGAGUUCAAGAGUACGUGAAACUGCUCAGAGGCAAACGGGUGGGCCCUCGAAAUCCUCUUGCGGGGAGAUUCAGUCCGGAGCGGCUGGGGCGGACGCGGGUAACGGACCCUCGGAAAGGACGGGUCCCGCGACGCAGUCCCGGUCGUGCCGGACGCACUUCUCCCCGCAUUCGGGACGCCGCAACGGAUCGGGUAGCUGCGAGAGUCGGCCUUGGGGCGGUUCCAGGCAGGUGGCCGGGCGUCGGGCUUCGUGCCCCCCGCCCGGUUAUUCACGGGACCGUUCGUGGCGCGACACCCGAUCGAGGUCCAAGUUCCCCGUGCGGGGAACCCUCCGUCUCCGUCUUCGUGGCGCGGUGCCCGGGUCAGUGAGCGCCGCCGACGUCGAACCACUCUCCGUAGUGGCCGGCGCGGCGGUACGCCGCCGUUGGGCCCGGGUCGACCGCAGGAGACUUUCGGAACGGUUAGCGGCGAGUAGGUCGGUCACCCACCCGGCCCGUCUUGAAACACGGACCAAGGAGUCUAACAUGUGCGCGAGUCGCAGGGUCUUGUACAGGCCCUCGGGCGCAAUGAAAGURAAGGUACCCCUCGCGGGACCGAGUUGGGACUCCCGUCCUGAAAAGGCCGGGAAGCACCAACGGCCCGUCCCGUCCGACUCGUCGGUGGGGCGGAGUCCGAGCGCACCCGUUAGAACCCGAAAGAUGAUGAACUAUGCCUGGGCAGAACGAAGCCAGAGGAAACUCUGGUGGAGGUUCGUAGCGGUUCUGACGUGCAAAUCGAUCGUCAGACCUUGG